GACGAACCGUGCGAACGUUGUUCGGAAUCACUGGGCUUAAAGGGCGCGUAGGCGGGUCGGCAAGUCCGGGGUGAAAGCCCCCAGCUCAACUGGGGAAGUGCCUUGGAAACUGCCGGUCUGGAGGGAGGUAGGGGCCUGUGGAACUUCGGGUGGAGCGGUGAAAUGCGUUGAUAUCCGAAGGAACGCCGGUGGCGAAAGCGACAGGCUGGACCUCUACUGACGCUGAGAAGCGAAAGCAUGGGGAGCGAACAGG
rnacentral:rRNA from 1 species